rnacentral:rRNA from 1 species
GAUGAACGCUGGCGGCGUGCCUAAUACAUGCCAGUCGAGCGAACAGAUGAGGAGCUUGCUCCUCUGACGUUAGCGGCGGACGGGUGAGUAACACGUGGAUAACCUACCUAUAAGACUGGGAUAACUUCGGGAAACCGGAGCUAAUACCGGAUAAUAUAUUGAACCGCAUGGUUCAAUAGUGAAAGACGGUUUUGCUGUCACUUAUAGAUGGAUCCGCGCCGCAUUAGCUAGUUGGUAAGGUAACGGCUUACCAAGGCAACGAUGCGUAGCCGACCUGAGAGGGUGACCGGCCACACUGGAACUGAGACACGGUCCAGACUCCUACGGGAGGCAGCAGUAGGGAAUCUUCCGCAAUGGGCGAAAGCCUGACGGAGCAACGCCGCGUGAGUGAUGAAGGUCUUCGGAUCGUAAAACUCUGUUAUUAGGGAAGAACAAAUGUGUAAGUAACUAUGCACGUCUUGACGGUACCUAAUCAGAAAGCCACGGCUAACUACGUG